rnacentral:snoRNA from 1 species
AAUUCUGUUUUAUUUAUUAUUUUUUGAGUUGGAAUCUCACUCCAUCGCCCAGGCUGGAGU